GGCUGAGUAGUGUAAUUGGAUAGCACGCCCGGCUGCAAAGGUGGUGGUUCGAUUUCCGAUUCAAUGAUUGCAAAGUGAGAGCCACAGGCUCUCUCCAUGACCAGAUGACGAGGAGCCGAGAGGCUCGGGUUCGAUUCCCGAUUCAGCUG